CCUACGGGGCGCAGCAGUGGGGAAUAUUGGACAAUGGGCGAAAGCCUGAUCCAGCCAUGCCGCGUGUGUGAAGAAGGCCUUCGGGUUGUAGAGCACUUUCAGUGGGGAAGAAAGCCUUGGGGCUAAUACCCUCGAGGAAGGACAUCACCCACAGAAGAAGCACCGGCUAACUCCGUGCCAGCAGCCGCGGUAAUACGGAGGGUGCGAGCGUUAAUCGGAAUUACUGGGCGUAAAGCGCGCGUAGGCGGUCUGAUAAGCCGGUUGUGAAAGCCCCGGGCUCAACCUGGGAACGGCAUCCGGAACUGUCAGGCUAGAGUGCAGGAGAGGAAGGUAGAAUUCCCGGUGUAGCGGUGAAAUGCGUAGAGAUCGGGAGGAAUACCAGUGGCGAAGGCGGCCUUCUGGACUGACACUGACGCUGAGGUGCGAAAGCGUGGGUAGCAAACAGGAUUAGAUACCCCUGUAGUC
rnacentral:rRNA from 1 species